CGAGCGGCGGACGGGUGAGUAACGCGUAGGAAUCUACCCAGUAGCGGGGGAUAGCCCGGGGAAACUCGGAUUAAUACCGCAUACGCCCUAUGGGGGAAAGAUGGCCUCUUCUUGAAAGCUAUCGCUAUUGGAGGAGCCUGCGUUGGAUUAGCUAGUUGGUGGGGUAAAGGCCUACCAAGGCGACGAUCCAUAGCUGGUCUGAGAGGACGAUCAGCCACACUGGAACUGAGACACGGUCCAGACUCCUACGGGAGGCAGCAG
rnacentral:rRNA from 1 species